rnacentral:rRNA from 1 species
AUACCUCAGUAACGGCGAGUGAAGCGGUAAAAGCUCAAAUUUGAAAUCUGGCUCUUUCAGUAGUCCGAAUUGUAAUUUGUAGAAGUAUGCUUCGGGUGUGGUUCCGGUCUAAGUUUCCUUGGAACAGGUCAUUCACAGAGGGUGAGAAUCCCGUAUGUGACUGGAUACCUAUGCUCAUGUGAAGCUCUUUCGACGAGUCGAGUUGUUUGGGAAUGCAGCUCAAAAAUGGGUGGUAUAUUUCAUCUAAAGCUAAAUAUUGGCCAGAGACCGAUAGCGCACAAGUAGAGUGAUCGAAAGAUGAAAAAGCACUUUGGAAAGAGAGUUAAACAGUACGUGAAAAUUGUUGAAAGGGAAGCGCUUGCAAUCAGACUUGCCCCUAGUUCCAGUGGUGACUUGUUCACCGUUAAUCUGCCUAGGGUCAGGCCAGCAUCAGUUUGGAUGGUUAGAUAAAGGCUUGAAGAAUGUGGCCCUCUUCGGGGGGUGUUAUAGCUUCAGGUGCAAUGUAGCCUAUCUGGACUGAGGACCGCGCUUCGGCUAGGAUGCUGGCGUAAUGGUUGUAAGCGACCCGUCUUGAAACACGGACCAAGGAGUGUACCUCAUAUGCGAGUGUUUGGGUGUUAAACCCAUACGCGUAAUGAAAGUGAACGGAGGUGAGAACCCUUAAGGGUGCAUCAUCGACCGAUCCUGAUGUCUUCGGAUGGAUUUGAGUAAGAGCAUAUGGGGUGCGACCCGAAAGAUGGUGAUCUAUACGUGAAUAGGGUGAAGCCAGAGGAAACUCUGGUGGAGGCUCGCAGCGGUUCUGACGUGCAAAUCGAUCGUCAAAUUUGCGUAUAGGGGCGAAAGACUAAUCGAACCAUUAAGGAAUAGACCAAGCUCUAGGUGGUUGAGAAACCCCUCAGGGGUAUUAGUCCUAGAAAUAGGGCGACAUUGUCAAAUUGUUCGGGGACCACCUGCUAAAUUACAUACUACCGCAGCAGUGCUGAAAAAGCCUGUGAGCACUGGAGGUAACGCCCUCCCAGGAUGGGUAAAUAAACGUAUGUAUAGGGGUAUAUCCGCAGCCCGAAUUCCUAACGCUUGUUAAAGCUAUGGAUGCAGUUAACAGACUAAACGGCAAGUGGGCUUCUGUAUAGGGCUUAAGAUAAUAAGUCGAACCCCCCAGAGAAUGGGAAUGAAACA